CUGGGAACAAUCGCAUCUCCGUUGUCUGUUUAUGGGACCCACUCCCCGUUUCUCUCUCAAAAUUGGUCACCGCUAUUUUAUUUUCCCUCAGUUUUUCACAAACCAAACACUCGCUCAUCCAUUUCCUUCCUUCCAUUGAUUCAAGGAAAGAAAAUUCCAGGGCAGAGAUAGAUAGAGAGAGAGAAUAGAAACUUUUCCGGAGAAAGGAAGUUAAAACACAAAGGAAAAAAGACAGCAUUUGACGGUUGUGUUCGGUGGGUGAACCUUAAUUAAUUUCGUCUUCCUUUCCCUCGUGAAAUCUCAUCUCUCUCUCUCUAGGGUUUCAUUAAUCGAUCUUAGAAGAAAUUGCAAUUUUUGAAUCGAUU
rnacentral:lncRNA from 1 species